AUACGGAGGAUCCGAGCGUUAUCCGGAUUUAUUGGGUUUAAAGGGUGCGCAGGCGGCCAUUUAAGUCAGCGGUUAAAUCGUGGGGCUCAACCCCAUUCUGCCGUUGAUACUGGGUGGCUUGAUUGCGGUCGAGGUUGGCGGAAUUCGUUGUGUAGCGGUGAAAUGCAUAGAUAUGACGAAGAACACCGAUUGCGUAGGCAGCUGACCAGAUCGCAAAUGACGCUCAUGCACGAAAGUGCGGGGAUCGAACAGGAUUAGAUACCCUGGUAGUCCGCACAGUAAACGAUGAAUGCUUGUUUUCGGCGAUAUAAUGUCGGAGGCAAAGCGAAAGCGAUAAGUAUUCCACCUGGGGAGUACGCCGGCAACGGUGAAACUCAAAUGAAUUGGCGGGG
rnacentral:rRNA from 1 species